ACCCUCUGCCUGCUGUAGAACAUCAGAGUGAAAUGGGGAUCCCAUUGUCCCUACAUUUUGUUUCUGAGGUGAGUGUGAAAAGAAGUCCCAAAGCAGCCCCAGAAAGUAGCCAGCGAGAAGAGGAUCAUCUUUUCUCCAUCCGCCAAAGCCUCUUUAGAGUUUGUAUUGGCAAAAAUCACUCUUCUCAAGGAUUAAAACAAAUAAUAACAACAACAGCAACAACAACAAAAAGACUUUAUUCUCUUUGUAUGAAGAUGGCUACACUGUCAGACCAAAGUCUGUUCCUCAAGAUCGCGCCUGCCAAAGUGGGCUGACUGCGUGGAAUCUGAACUCUCUCCCUUGUCAAAGGCAUUCAGUGAAGUGGCCAAUUGUACCCUGUGGAGAUGGGCCCUGAGUUCAAAUCCUGCUCUGCCACUUCCGUGUUUAUGAACUCAAGAGCAGCUCACUUCCAAUGACUGGUUGAUGCAGGGGUACAAAUACCCGACCCUCUUGCCUGGAUUCUGGACACAUCUCUGAAGGGCCG